rnacentral:rRNA from 1 species
GUGGGGAAUCUUAGACAAUGGGCGCAAGCCUGAUCUAGCCAUGCCGCGUGAGCGAUGAAGGCCUUAGGGUUGUAAAGCUCUUUCACCGGUGAAGAUAAUGACGGUAACCGGAGAAGAAGCCCCGGCUAACUUCGUGCCAGCAGCCGCGGUAAUACGAAGGGGGCUAGCGUUGUUCGGAAUUACUGGGCGUAAAGCGCACGUAGGCUGAUAUUUAAGUCAGGGGUGAAAUCCCGGGGCUCAACCCCGGAACUGCCUUUGAUACUGGGUAUCUUGAGUAUGGAAGAGGUCAGUGGAAUUGCGAGUGUAGAGGUGAAAUUCGUAGAUAUUCGCAGGAACACCAGUGGCGAAGGCGGCUGACUGGUCCAUUACUGACGCUGAGGUGCGAAAGCGUGGGGAGCAAACAGGAUUAGAAACCCGAGUAGUCC